rnacentral:piRNA from 1 species
GACCUAGGUUCUUGGAAGAUAUGGGUGGGU